rnacentral:lncRNA from 1 species
AAAAAUUUGGGGAAAAGAAAAGAAAGAAGGAAGAAGGAAAGAGAAGAAGAAAGAAGAAGAAAAUCCAAUAAGGUAAUGAAUAAAACCUUGAUUAAUCCUUUAGUUUCCAUGAUAGAAGUUAAGUUUUAUGAUGUUGGUGUAUUUAUGUUGGUAUGUGAUAAAUUAAACUUAUAAAAAUGUGAAUCAAAGGAAAGAAAUCAAGAAAUUAAAAGAAAAACAAAAUCUGAAAAUUUUCAAAAAAAUUAGAGAAAUCACUAAAGCUAAUUCACUAAAGCUAUAGAGCAAUUAUUAUAGAGAAAAAUUAUAGAGAGAAAGAAGAAGAGAAGUUUGCUACCUCACUAAUCCAGUCUUCUUUUGAGGUAAGGAAUAUUAUUUGUUGUACUCGUAAGGGGUAUUAUUUUUUUCAUAUUCAUGAAGAGAACUUCUGAUAUUCCAUUCUUUAUUAUUAUGUUGGAAUAACCUGUUUAGGCGAAGUAUCGCAUACAUGGUGAAAUUCUUCUAUUAUUCCAUUCUUUACUAUUAUGUCGGAAUAUCCUGCC